rnacentral:rRNA from 1 species
GACGAACGCUGGCGGCGUGCUUAACACAUGCAAGUCGAACGGAAAGGCCCUGCUUUUGUGGGGUGCUCGAGUGGCGAACGGGUGAGUAACACGUGAGUAACCUGCCCUUGACUUUGGGAUAACUUCAGGAAACUGGGGCUAAUACCGGAUAGGAGCUCCUGCUGCAUGGUGGGGGUUGGAAAGUUUCGGCGGUUGGGUAUGGACUCGCGGCUUAUCAGCUUGUUGGUGGGGUAGUGGCUUACCAAGGCUUUGACGGGUAGCCGGCCUGAGAGGGUGACCGGCCACAUUGGGACUGAGAUACGGCCCAGACUCCUACGGGAGGCAGCAGUGGGGAAUAUUGCACAAUGGGCGGAAGCCUGAUGCAGCAACGCCGCGUGCGGGAUGACGGCCUUCGGGUUGUAAACCGCUUUCGCCUGGGACGAAGCGUGAGUGACGGUAAUGGGUAAAGAAGCACCGGCUAACUACGUG